GAAACUAACAAGGAUUCCCUUAGUAACGGCGAGUGAACCGGGAAGAGCUCAAAUUUGUAAUCUGGCUGUCUUCGAUAGUCCGAGUUGUAAUCUAUAGACGUGUUUUCCGUGCUGGACCGUAUCUAAGUCCCUUGGAACAGGGUAUCAAAGAGGGUGAUAAUCCCGUGCUUGAUACGACCACCAGUGCUCUGUGAUACACGCUCUACGAGUCGAGUUGUUUGGGAAUGCAGCUCAAAAUGGGUGGUAAAUUCCAUCUAAAGCUAAAUAUUGGCGAGAGACCGAUAGCGAACAAGUACCGUGAGGGAAAGAUGAAAAGCACUUUGGAAAGAGAGUUAAACAGUACGUGAAAUUGUUGAAAGGGAAACGAUUGAAGUCAGUCGUGUUCUUCAGAUUCAGCUGGUUCUUCCAGUCUACUUCUGUUGAACGGGUCAACAUCAGUUUUGUCCGGUGGAUAAAGGUAGUAGGAAUGUGACUCCUCCGGGAGUGUUAUAGCCUAUUAUUGCAUACACUGGGUGAGACUGAGGACUGCAGCUCGCCUUUUGGCCGGUCUU
rnacentral:rRNA from 1 species